AGUGAACGCUGGCGGUAGGCCUAACACAUGCAAGUCGAACGGCAGCACAGUAAUAGCUUGCUCUUACGGGUGGCGAGUGGCGGACGGGUGAGGAAUACAUCGGAAUCUACUUUUUCGUGGGGGAUAACGUAGGGAAACUUACGCUAAUACCGCAUACGACCUACGGGUGAAAGCAGGGGAUCUUCGGACCUUUCGCGAUUGAAUGAGCCGAUGUCGGAUUAGCUAGUUGGCGGGGUAAAGGCCCACCAAGGCGACGAUCCGUAGCUGGUCUGAGAGGAUGAUCAGCCACACUGGAACUGAGACACGGUCCAGACUCCUACGGGAGGCAGCAGUGGGGAAUAUUGGACAAUGGGCGCAAGCCUGAUCCAGCCAUACCGCGUGGGUGAAGAAGGCCUUCGGGUUGUAAAGCCCUUUUGUUGGGAAAGAAAAGCAGCAGGUUAAUACCCCGCUGUUCUGACGGUACCCAAAGAAUAAGCACCGGCUAACUUCGUG
rnacentral:rRNA from 1 species